rnacentral:sRNA from 1 species
GGUUAUCUCCUCCGAAUUUUUCGAAAAAUUGUGAAAAAUCGUAAUCUUGGUCCAUGUUGAGAUCAGAAGUAGCAUUGAUCUCAUGUUCGGGGUACAACGAUGAUGGGGAGAAGGGAUCAAAUUCAGCAAGAGUAUUUGUCAGGGAUGUGUUAGAACUAUCCUCUUCAUUGCGAA